ACCAUCCUUUUCUUGGGGUUGCGUUAUUGUCCAAUGAACGACUAGUGAGGGCAGUACUGCUAACGCCUGUGCAACACACCCGCAUCAACUAGAGCUUCCGCUUUAUCUUGGUGCAAUUUUUGGAAAA